GAUGAACGCUGGCGGCGUUCCUAAUACAUGCAAGUCGAGCGAACAGACGAGGAGCUUGCUCCUCUGACGUUAGCGGCGGACGGGGGAGUAACACGUGGAUAACCUACCUAUAAGACUGGGAUAACUUCGGGAAACCGGAGCUAAUACCGGAUAAUAUAUUGAACCGCAUGGUUCAAUAGUGAAAGACGGUUUUGCUGUCACUUAUAGAUGGAUCCGCGCCGCAUUAGCUAGUUGGUAAGGUAACGGCUUACCAAGGCAACGAUGCGUAGCCGACCUGAGAGGGUGAUCGGCCACACUGGAACUGAGACACGGUCCAGACUCCUACGGGAGGCAGCAGUAGGGAAUCUUCCGCAAUGGGCGAAAGCUUGACGGAGCAACGCCGCGUGAGUGAUGAAGGUCUUCGGAUCGUAAAACUCUGUUAUUAGGGAAGAACAAAUGUGUAAGUAACUAUGCACGUCUUGACGGUACCUAAUCAGAAAGCCACGGCUAACUACGUG
rnacentral:rRNA from 1 species